CCCUGCCCUGGCACUGGGCGCGCGCGGGCCGGCCUCGCUUUUAUCCCAGCGCACGCGCGCAGCGGACGGGGGCGGGGCCCACGCCCCCAGGUCCUCGCGGCGCCCGCGGCUAAGAUCACCGUAAAUGUCCGAAUAUGGGAACACCCACGAUUUGAGGCUCUAACACACUUUUCUCAGUGACAAGGGAGUAUGGCAACAGCGAUGACCUCACAGGAUAGCUCCAGGAAGGAGCUGAGAUCAGAUAGCAUUUACGACAGCACCUAGCAGGCAGGAAGGGCCUGUGCAGAAAGGGUUUCUGGCUUGGGGAGGCCUCUCCUCGCCUGCCCCCAGUCAAGCCUUCCUGUGAGUUGCCCGGCUGUUCUCUGCCACCCCAGGAGCUGCAAGGCGGUCAAGGUCAGAAGGGGGCGUGCGGUGGGAGGGUACUGGCCCGUGGCCCCAGAAGCAACUGCUGUGGGAGCUCUUGACGCACUUAAUGGCUUUCAGGGAAGGGAUGGUGACAACUCUAGAUGCCCUGCCCCUGGACCCCGUGUCAUCUGACCUGUGCCUGGCGACGGCGUGUUACCCCGAAGCUCAAGAACCACCAUCCCGCCCCUGCUCCUGGAGUGCUGACAGAGUUCAGAGAUUCAGCACCAGCUUCACCGGGAAAUCCACGGAAGCCGUGUGUAGCUUCGAAAGUAAAAACACAAGUGACACC